UUAUGGCCAUAUCUGGUUGAAACACCAUUUCCCCCAUGAUCAUCGAAGUGCAGCCGCGUCGAGCUUGGUCGUGCCUAGAUGGGUGACCACUUGGGAAAACCAGGUGUUGUAAA